GUGACCCUUCCUUUUUGCCUCCAGGAGCACCAGCUGCACUCAGCUCCCAGGGCUCAGCCUGCAGACACUGUGCAAUGAAAGAGAACCCAACCUGGAGCAGGAUCCAUUUACAGUUGCUGUGUGAUCUCCAGCUGAGAAAAACUUGGCUUUCAUUUCUUGCUCCUUAACAGCCACGGGGCCUCUGAACAUCAGGUGCUUCUUCACAAACGUCAUCAGCUCAUCCAUCUUUCUAGAAAGGAGACAAAUACAAAGCUUUGAAGACCAAAACUCAACAUAUAAUGUCAUAUUAUUUAUACUUCUGACAGUUCCAAUUUUUGUCUUAUUCUUUCUUAUCACCCACACUCUUCUUUGGCUUCUUGCCUUGAACUUUUCCCUCUACUAUGUCACUACUUAGCACCAUCUCCAAUAUCUCUACCUUCCCUUCUACCCAAAUUUUUCUGCAUAGUUAUUAAUAACAUUUUUUUUAUUUUCCCACUGUACAGCAAGGGGAUCAAGUUAUCAUGACAUGUAUACAUUACAAUUACAUUUUUUCCCCCACCCUUUCUUCUGUUGCAACAUGAGUAUCCAGACAAAGUUCUCAACGCUACUCAGCAGGAUCUCCUUGUAAAUCUAUUCUAAGUUGUGUCUGAUAAGCCCAAACUCCCGAUCCCUCCCACUCCCUCCCCCUCCCAUCAGGCAGCCACAAGUCUCUUCUCCAAGUCCAUGAUUUUCUUUUCUGAGGAGAUGUUCAUUUGUGCUGGAUAUUAGAUUCCAGUUAUAAGUGAUAUCAUAUGGUAUUUGUCUUUGUCU
rnacentral:lncRNA from 1 species